rnacentral:lncRNA from 1 species
UGCACUCCUUUGUUGCAACCCAUUAGCCUCCUAGCACUUGACCAAAAGUGUUUUCCUCGCACUUAAAUGUUUAUACUUGUAUAAUUAGUGUAUUAAUCACUAAUUAUUUAUAUACAUAUGUUUUCAUAUGUAAUUAGGAUCAUUGUGUGUGUCUAAGUCUUCACUUGACACCAAGCACUUGCCCGAUCCUUCCCUACGAUAACAGUCCGUUCAAUUCAAGUCACUUACUGCAGGUGAGUUCAUACCCCUUAACUAAUGUUUUAAACUAUUAUUAAAUGUUUUAUGGGGGGAUACAAGUAGAAACAUGCUUGUUAUUAUAUCAAUCACAUGUGAUUAAUAAGUAGAAUUAUGCUAGUUAUUACAUUAAUCACAUGUGAUUAAUAUACAGCAUUCAAAUGAUUUGGCUACUCAUUAGCCGUUUUACCAAACAGUUUCCUUCAAAUGAUUUUUAUAAACAUUUUAUAUGUUUUAAACUCCUUAUUACACUGUACAUCUUACUCUGUACAUUACCUUUCAAACUUAUUUACAACUGUGUUUCAAACAAAUGUUUCCUUAUACUUAAACUGUUUUAUCAAACUUAUGCCUUCAAAUUGUUUUAUAGAUUGACAUCAAGUCGAUCUUUUCUUAAAAUAAUAUUUAUGUUUCAAAUGUCUUACAAAACUUAUUAUGCUUUUAUAUUAUAAAUUGCAUGCCUCUAUAUGUAUAGUUAUAUAAGAAAUGUUUAAAAGACUUAGGAAGGCUAUCCACCCUAUUUCCUUUUCGCGCUUGAGAUGUGGUCUGGUGGGAUAUCGGGUACUCGUCCGAAAGUCGUUUAAAUAUUAGUUAUAUAUCAUGUGUACAUAUAUAGUCAUAAAAGGUCCUUCCAGUUCAUCCCAUGCCCUUGGGUAGCAAGGGUAUACAUCCAUGUCCAUACGUACCAGUUAGAUUACUAGUAAACUACCAUAUGGGUAGUUUAGGAAGAUACUAGAACAAUUACUAGAACGCGAUAUCAUACAAUGAGUCAGUUCAUUCAUGAGUCAAUACUUUCUAGAACAUUACAGUACAUUACAUAUACAACUAUACUAGGACGAGAACAUAUACAACUAUACUAGAACGAUUACAUUACUAUACUUGCUAGGUAGAGAGCACGUACAUUACAGCUAGAACAGUUCAUUACAUUACAUAUACAAGAAUACGUUAAUAAUAGUGAUUUAAAUCGGAGCAUGAAUUAAAUGUCAUGGCCCGAGUUGUAGCCAGAGUCUCUUGAAGGGAGAGCGUGAAUUUGCGUAUAGAUUCUAUAAUGGAUUGACUAUCCUACACCUUGAUGCUAACUACAGCGGGACCUGUAGGUCUGCGGGUGCCAAACGUCAUACCUUAUUUUUGACUAAACAUUGUCGUUGUAACCAGUCUAUAGUAUGAGUUUGUGUAUAGAUCUAUACUAGAUUGACUAUCCUACACCUCGUUGCUAGCUAUAGUGGGAUCUGCAGGUCUGCGGGUGCCAAACAUCAUUCCUUAUUACGACCAUUCUUAUGUCGUUGUUACCAAUCGAUAGUAUAGUACAAUUUAUCACAUAAUGCCUUAAUAUAAAUACGAUUUAAGGUAGUUAGUACGGCAGUAGUUCUAAUAGCAUUACACCAUAGUACUAUUUCUUUUUCCCAUUACAUUCACCUCGUGAACAUUCACACGACGCACGGAAAUGUAGAAACUAUAUUUUUGGAUAAUGAUAGUUAUACUUUGGAAAAUACAUACGCUUACAAGAGACACACAUACAGAGCAGUUAGGUCUUGGUAGAAGACUAUAUUCAGAACAGUUAGGUCUUGGUAGAAGACACCUUCAUAUACUAGUAGGAAUCAUAGGGAUUCUAGGGUUUUUCAAACACUUACAGUUCAUAUACACUUUAAAUACUUACAAUACAUAGACUUACAAAUUCUUACAUACAAAUUAAGACACUAAAUACUUAUGAUCUCACCAGCUUCAAAGCUGAUACUCGCUUUCAAAAUUACUUGUAUCCUCAGGUCAUCAUAGACAGGUACCGAUGCAAGGAGAAAGGAAGAUGGAGCUUGUUCAAGACUUAUCUUUCAUUUUGAUUUAUGCUUUAGUGUUUAUCAAAAUUUGACAGAAUACAAUUGUAUAAUAAUUAUUUUAUUAAUGCAAUGGAUGAUGUUGUUGCUUGUUUACUACUUUACAUUGUUGUUGAUAUUAUACAUGACGUCCUCCGCCCCAGAACGUUUCCGCCGUUCUUGGUUUUGGGGUGUGACAGAUUGGUAUCAGAGCAUUGUUUAUAGUGAAUUAAGUAUAUCAACCCAUAAAAGAUAUACUAACUAUAAAUACAUAAGGGAUUAAAAAUACUCUGACCAAGAGUUUAUACUUUAAAUAGUAAAAUAUUUAAGUAAGUAUACGUGCUGCAUUCAUACUAAAAUCAGUGUCACUAGGACAGUACAAAAGAAUUACGAUUGUUGGGCAACACAAGUGGGCUUAGAGACAUAUGGUCAAAACUGGGAAGAUAUAGCCUGAUCACCUAUAUUAUCCGAGGGUUGACUAGCAUGUGCCUAAGUUUAAUUGUGUGGUUGCAACAAUGCUAAAAUCUUACCAACCCUACCACAAUGAGAACAGUAGAACAUAACAUUAAACUUAAAAUACUAUAGGAGUAUUUGGUGUUACUAUAAGUACUUUAUACUUGAGAACUAAAACGGGAUCUUCAUUACUAAGUUGAUAGUUGCUAAGUGGAUACACUAAGGCUAUAUGUAAUUAGGAUGUUAUAGACUUAGAAUCUGUGAUAAUUUUGCCUUACCCCUAUUCUGUGUGAAUUUGGAAUUAAGGUCACUUAUUCGAAGGUCUAUCCUGUUUAGAUUACACAUAGCUGGUAUGCACUUCACAAAUAGCGAUGUAACUAAUGAAGGUUUUCUAAAUAAUUAUCUAGAUAGUUCGUCUAAUAAUUAUUCUCUUACCCUAAAUUCUCGCAUAGAAAACAUAGUUGGACUCCAUCCCCUCGGCAACCAGUAUCUUCCGAAUGAAGUCAUAGCUGGUUGGUUUGGAGAAGAACCAGAGAAUGAUCAUCCUAUCCCCUUGAAUGAUCACCACGAUGAAGACUUUUCGUAUGAUGCUAACUCCGAAACAGAGGUUGAGAACCUACCCCGAGCAGCUCCCUUUCCAAUUCCUAACCCUCGUCCGGCUUUUUCAUGGCCCGACCCUGAGUGAGUAGAAUGCUUGGAAACAUGGAGCCAAGGACAAGAUCAGUCUAUGCCAUUUGAUGGCGACCGAAGCUUUUACGACUUGAGCAAUAGGGGGCUCAGCAGAUUGAGUCUUGCCAAAUCUUGGUCCGCAGAGUGACCCGAAAUGAGAUUCAAGGUAGGACAGCCCUACAUCAGAUUACAGAAAUAGUCGCCUAUGCUAGAAUGCAUACCCUCCACACCAUUCAUCUAGAAGAUGCUCACGAGAGUUCAGAGAGAAACCAUGAAACCCUGCUGCAAGCACUGGCUGAAUCACAAGCCGAAGUCAUAGAACUCCGAGUACGCUAGAUGGUGUGCGAAAGACACCUACUUGACAUGGAACGUCAAUUGGCUGAACUAAGAGUUCACCAGAGGGAUGACCGUCGCCAAUAGUAGACGCUUUACUUUAUUUCCUUAUAAAGAGGAAUCGUAUUUUUCUGUCUAUGCUUGAUGUGGCAUUUUCUAUGAAAUUAUCUUGUACCGUAAGUACUUUAGUUAGGUCUUUAUGCUGUCAGGACCUAUCUUCUGUGGAUAUGAUGUAAGACCUUUACAAGGUCAUUUUCUAGAAUCUUUACACCGUGAAUAUCAAAGAUAUUGAUGGCCGGCUAACGUUUGUGUCAUUCUUCAUUCAAGUACUCUUAUCAUACCUUCAUUAGGGUCUAUCUGAAACAUGCUUUAGUCAAGUCAUCAGACUAUAGUGAUUUAUCUUCGGAGACAUUUCCAAGUCUCUUACAGUGGUUGGAUCCUGUUAUUCACCAACCCACGAUACCUCGGCUUGAACAACAAACGUCUUGAGACCAUUCUACGAACAUACUUCCAUUCCGUACUAGGACUGCAUCAUAGGCAUGUAGGUCAAACCUUCGCGAACAUACUUUCAUUCUGUACUAGGACUGCAUCAUAGGGAUGUAGGUCCAACUUUCGAGAACAUAGUCGUACUCUUUACGUGAAAAAUCUAAGUACAUCAAGGGUCAACCAAAAUCGCUCACAAAAUCCUUAUCUUUCGUGUUACAGGAUCAUGUCGUCAUCCGGAAACAACCUUUCUUUCCGAAGAAAUCCCCGAAGUACAACUCGUGCAGUAUGUCAAGUUUAAUCCAAGGAUUCAUGCGAUUGAUCUAUCACUGAGGAAUGGUAUACAUAAGAGUAAUAUAUAAUCAAGCUUCUACAGGUUUAGAAUUGAUGAUUCCACUUUAACUUCUUUUUCCCCGAUGGGAUGUGAGCUUAAAGAAGAAUCAGUUAUUUGACUACCUUUUCAACCUUAAUUAUAUGCGACUCGUAUACCCGAAAUUUUGAUUGUGAAACCAUGUAUGAAUUCUAAUAUGAACUUUAGGACGGAGAACUGCUUAAGCCUAUGAGUAAUCACAUCGUCAUGUGAACAAACUUAGAACCCAGUACGACUCCCUUAAACAGAUCGCCCUAUAGUUUAAACACCUACGGAGAUACAAGAACAGUCCUGAAAACUUAACGAACUACACAGAAAUAGAAUUAGAGGACUAGGCUUCUCACCCUAGAGAACCCUGGUCAUAUUCUCCCAGAGAUCGACGGAUUGCAACGUAUGUGCCUCGGAUAUUGAGGACUCUGUCAAGAUAUUCAUAUAAAUCGUUAUCUCUGCCUCGCAUAGAUGAAAUGGUUGAGCAAACGCAAGGAAAGAAUUACUUUCAGGAGUGGACCUGAGAUCCGAAUAUCACCAGUCCCGAGUGUUAGAGAAGGAUGUCCCGAGGACAAUCUUCCAAACUCGAUGNAUGUCCGGAAGACUAUCUCCUGAACUUGAUGCGGACACUUCGAGUCCGUAGUGAUACCUUUCGGAUAGGACCAAUACGCCCAUAGUUUUCAUGAGCUAAAUGAAUAGGGUGCAUUUUCUUACUUGGAUCAAUUCGUCAUUUCUCCAUGUAAUGACUUACUUAUCUACCCUCGUAGUAAGAACAAAACCUAGGGAAACAUUUCCUAUAGAGGAACUUUAGCGAAAUUUUCUAGACACGAGUUUUGAAAUUGAAGAGUCAAAUUUCUAUGACACACUGUUAGUAAUGUGAGAAAUUAUGAGCAUUCUUUCAAUUUGUCAAAACCGCUGAGCAUUUAUCGACACCAGAGACGCCGGCAGUCUUUCGCCAAAUUCUAGGUCUUACCGACCUACCGCCUUAGUUCAUUCAGAACUCCUCGCAAGCUAUAGGAACCCGUACGACUUUGACCCAGCAAGGGGUGGCCUUUGACUGGUAAGUUAAGCAGAAAAGGAACCUUUGAAAUUCCAAGUGAGUGACCAAGUUCUUUAGGAUAACUCACUCUGGGAAUGGCUUAAUACGCUUUGUGAAGCGUGGAAAGCUAAAUCCAAGGUUGACAGGACCUCCGAGAUUCUUAUCAGAAUCGGUCCUGUGCCUCGCAUAAACUAGACCUACUCCGCGAACUCAGUAACGUACAUUCUACUCUUCGCAUCUCGAUCGUGAAACCAUACCUUUCCGUUAGGACUCUUGCAAGUCCACUCGUCGAAUCCUCGCCUUCGUAUUAGAACCGUAGUGGCCCUCAACCGAGUGGUCAAGCGGACGAAGCAACGCCGUCGCCAGUUAGUGAAGGUUCGUUGGAUUGCCAACCGAGAACCCGAUUUCACCUAAGUGCGCUAGAACCAAUCGAUUAGGAAGUUUCCUCCUCACGACUCGAUCAUUCGUGCNUUGGCAGUUUUCAGGGUUUUACACCUAAGGAGUUAUUAGGAGAGUGGAUGCACUAGGAUUUUGUGCAACACUGUAAUUCCAUUACUCUAGGUCAUUAGAAUCCAUUCCGAGAAUAGAAAUAUUUUCUGCCAAAAAUCUCAGGACUAUAAAUAGAAUUCUGAACCAAAUUGGUUCAUUAGUUGAAUUCCAAUUAGAGAAAAGCCAAAUUCUCUCUCACGGAUCUUCGGGUUUUUAUCCCAAAUCAUGAGUAUACUUCUCUAGUUGUUUUAUAAUACUUGUUAUAAGCUUAAUAACAUAGAUUACAUGCCAAAUAUGUGAGAUCCGGGAGUUUACCGCCCAAGAACGUUCUUGGGGAGUAAACUCCAUUUUAAGGUCCUAAAGGGUUCCAAUGACCCUCCAAGAUUUAGAACUCGAACUAGGGGCCUCCAAUUCACGCCUUAUACCACAAAACAAUUAGGAAUCAUGGCUAGAAGGGAGUUUACGGCCAAGGAGCUUCUUAGGCCGUAAACUCCAAGUUUUAAGUGCCAAAAUGCUUUGAAACACUUCCAAAGGCUUAGAUUAAAUUAGGACAAGUACCCUAAAGUGUUUAUAGCCUAGCAAACAUAAGAAAUCACAAGGAAAAAGGAGUUUACAUCCAAGACAAACUCUUGGGCCGUAAACACCUAAAAAGGGGUCAAAUGACACCCUAAAUCCUUCCUUAAGCCAAAAGACAAAUUUGGGCAUGUACCUAAAUGAGUUAUGGACUAGUUAAAACACUUAGAACUCCAUGAGUGAGGGAGUUUAUGGUCCAAAAGGUUCCAGGGCCGUAAACUCAAGAAAAUGGUGCCAAUUGUGCCAUAAACUCUUCUACAGCCAAGUACCAAAGCCUAGUUUAGUUCCUAGUUAAUUUAGAGACUUGAAAACACCAUAAAACCCUCCCAAGGGAGUUUACGGCCAUAAACUCCAAGGGAAUAUGGUCUAUGGGCCGUAAACUCCCCAAAGGAGUUAAUAUGCUACCCAAACACUUGUAUAGCCUUGAAACAAUUCCCCUCUAGAGUUGUAGUAAUUCUAAGCUUCAAUUAGGGACCCUAAGGAGAGUUUACGGCCAGGAGUUUACUCCCCUGGGCCGUAAACUCCAAAACAUAUGGUCAUUUGACCAUAAACUCCAAAUAGGGGCAUUACACUCUUUUGUUGCAACCCAUUAGCCUCCUAGCACUUGACCAAAAGUGUUUUCCUCGCGUUUAAAUGUUUAUACUUGUUUAAUUAGUGUAUUAAUCACUAAUUAUUUAUAUAAAUAUGUUUUCAUAUGUGAUUAGGAUCAUUGUGUGUGUCUAAGUCUUCACUUGACAGCAAGCACUUCCCGAUCCUUCCUUAUGAUAACAGUCCGUUCAAUUGUAGUCACUUACUGCAGGUGAGUUCAUACCCCUUAACUAAUGUUUUAAACUACUUUUAAA